GGGUUGUGAGGUUAAGCGACUAAGCGUACACGGUGGAUGCCCUGGCAGUCAGAGGCGAUGAAGGACGUGCUAAUCUGCGAAAAGCGCCGGCGAGGUGAUAUGAACCCUUGACCCGGCGAUGUCCGAAUGGGGAAACCCAGUGCAAUCCGUUGCACUAUCGUUAACUGAAUACAUAGGUUAACGAGGCGAACCGGGGGAACUGAAACAUCUAAGUACCCCGAGGAAAAGAAAUCAACCGAGAUUCCCCCAGUAGCGGCGAGCGAACGGGGAGCAGCCCGGAGUCUGAAUCAGCUUGUGUGUUAGUGGAACGGUCUGGAAAGUCCGACGGUACAGGGUGAUAGUCCCGUACACGAAAGCACACUUGCUGUGAACUCGAAGAGUAGGGCGGGACACGUGGUAUCCUGUCUGAAUAUGGGGGGACCAUCCUCCAAGGCUAAAUACUCCUGACUGACCGAUAGUGAACCAGUACCGUGAGGGAAAGGCGAAAAGAACCCCGGCGAGGGGAGUGAAAAAGAACCUGAAACCGUGUACGUACAAGCAGUGGGAGCCUCUUUAUGGGGUGACUGCGUACCUUUUGUAUAAUGGGUCAGCGACUUAUAUUCUGUAGCAAGGUUAACCGUAUAGGGGAGCCGAAGGGAAACCGAGUCUUAACUGGGCGUUAAGUUGCAGGGUAUAGACCCGAAACCCGGUGAUCUAGCCAUGGGCAGGUUGAAGGUUGGGUAACACUAACUGGAGGACCGAACCGACUAAUGUUGAAAAAUUAGCGGAUGACCUGUGGCUGGGGGUGAAAGGCCAAUCAAACCGGGAGAUAGCUGGUUCUCCCCGAAAGCUAUUUAGGUAGCGCCUCGUGAACUCAUCUUCGGGGGUAGAGCACUGUUUCGGCUAGGGGGCCAUCCCGGCUUACCAACCCGAUGCAAACUACGAAUACCGAAGAAUGUUAUCACGGGAGACACACGGCGGGUGCUAACGUCCGUCGUGAAGAGGGAAACAACCCAGACCGCCAGCUAAGGUCCCAAAGUCAUGGUUAAGUGGGAAACGAUGUGGGAAGGCACAGACAGCCAGGAUGUUGGCUUAGAAGCAGCCAUCAUUUAAAGAAAGCGUAAUAGCUCACUGGUCGAGUCGGCCUGCGCGGAAGAUGUAACGGGGCUAAACCAUGCACCGAAGCUGCGGCAGCGACACUUAUGUGUUGUUGGGUAGGGGAGCGUUCUGUAAGCCGUUGAAGGUGUGCUGUGAGGCAUGCUGGAGGUAUCAGAAGUGCGAAUGCUGACAUAAGUAACGAUAAAGCGGGUGAAAAGCCCGCUCGCCGGAAGACCAAGGGUUCCUGUCCAACGUUAAUCGGGGCAGGGUGAGUCGACCCCUAAGGCGAGGCCGAAAGGCGUAGUCGAUGGGAAACAGGUUAAUAUUCCUGUACUUGGUGUUACUGCGAAGGGGGGACGGAGAAGGCUAUGUCAGCCGGGCGACGGUUGUCCCGGUUUAAGCAUGUAGGCGGAGGUUCCAGGUAAAUCCGGUACCUUUUAACGCUGAGGUGUGAUGACGAGGCACUACGGUGCUGAAGUGAUAAAUGCCCUGCUUCCAGGAAAAGCCUCUAAGCAUCAGGUAACACGAAAUCGUACCCCAAACCGACACAGGUGGUCAGGUAGAGAAUACCAAGGCGCUUGAGAGAACUCGGGUGAAGGAACUAGGCAAAAUGGUGCCGUAACUUCGGGAGAAGGCACGCUGAUGUGUAGGUGAAGCCCCUGCGGGCGGAGCUGAAAUCAGUCGAAGAUACCAGCUGGCUGCAACUGUUUAUUAAAAACACAGCACUGUGCAAACACGAAAGUGGACGUAUACGGUGUGACGCCUGCCCGGUGCCGGAAGGUUAAUUGAUGGGGUUAGCGGCAACGCGAAGCUCUUGAUCGAAGCCCCGGUAAACGGCGGCCGUAACUAUAACGGUCCUAAGGUAGCGAAAUUCCUUGUCGGGUAAGUUCCGACCUGCACGAAUGGCGUAAUGAUGGCCAGGCUGUCUCCACCCGAGACUCAGUGAAAUUGAACUCGCUGUGAAGAUGCAGUGUACCCGCGGCAAGACGGAAAGACCCCGUGAACCUUUACUAUAGCUUGACACUGAACACUGGUCCUUGAUGUGUAGGAUAGGUGGGAGGCUUUGAAGCGUGGACGCCAGUCUGCGUGGAGCCAACCUUGAAAUACCACCCUUUAAUGGCUGGUGUUCUAACGUAGACCCGUAAUCCGGGUUGCGGACAGUGUCUGGUGGGUAGUUUGACUGGGGCGGUCUCCUCCCAAAGAGUAACGGAGGAGCACGAAGGUUGGCUAAUCCUGGUCGGACAUCAGGAGGUUAGUGCAAUGGCAUAAGCCAGCUUGACUGCGAGCGUGACGGCGCGAGCAGGUGCGAAAGCAGGUCAUAGUGAUCCGGUGGUUCUGAAUGGAAGGGCCAUCGCUCAACGGAUAAAAGGUACUCCGGGGAUAACAGGCUGAUACCGCCCAAGAGUUCAUAUCGACGGCGGUGUUUGGCACCUCGAUGUCGGCUCAUCACAUCCUGGGGCUGAAGUAGGUCCCAAGGGUAUGGCUGUUCGCCAUUUAAAGUGGUACGCGAGCUGGGUUUAGAACGUCGUGAGACAGUUCGGUCCCUAUCUGCCGUGGGCGCUGGAGAAUUGAGGGGGGCUGCUCCUAGUACGAGAGGACCGGAGUGGACGCAUCACUGGUGUUCGGGUUGUCAUGCCAAUGGCACUGCCCGGUAGCUAAAUGCGGAAGAGAUAAGUGCUGAAAGCAUCUAAGCACGAAACUUGCCCCGAGAUGAGUUCUCCCUGAGACUUUAAGUCUCCUGAAGGAACGUUGAAGACGACGACGUUGAUAGGUCGGGUGUGUAAGCGCAGCGAUGCGUUGAGCUAACCGAUACUAAUGAACCGUGAGGCUUAACCUUACAACGCCGAAGGUGUUU
rnacentral:rRNA from 1 species